rnacentral:lncRNA from 1 species
UCCCGAAGAUCCCUUAGGAAGAUCCUCAUGCCCUACGGUGAGGAGCUCCUGCUGUCGGUGCAGGUCCUCUCCUUCGCCUGCGGUGGCUUCAGCGUCGCUUGGAGGAGCAACAACCUGAUAGGAGACGGCAACACGGCCAUGAGGGUGGUCAUGGGGUGGACCGAGCUGCUGCGGACCGGAACCGUCGCUGGAGUGGAGCGCGACCGCCCUGCACUCUUCCAGCCCCGGGACCCACCGGCUUACAGCGCCGAGAUCGCCGAGGCGUUUCGGCCGUAUGAGCACGAGAAAAUGGUGAACGCCCUCACCGUCGCCGAUAGCACGGUCGAGCGCCUCUACUACAUCGAGGCGCGCGACAUCGCCGGGCUCCACGAGGCGGCGAAGCUCGGCGGCCGCCGGCGCAUCUCGCGCGUGCACGCCUUCUCUGCGUACACAUGGAAGGUCCUCGCCUCCGUGGUGGCCGCGUCAACCCGCCUGUCCGAGGACGAGAAGCGCUGCGGCCUGGUGCUGUGGGUGGACGCGCGGCAGCGCUUCUCGUCCCCGGAGAUGCUCGCCGCGAUGCGCAACUACAUAGGUUUCUCCUGCGCCUACGUGCACCAGGAGGAGUACGCGGCGGCCAUCCUCGAGAAGCGGCUGGCAGACGUGGCGGCCAUGCUGGGCGAGGCCGUCCAGUCGAAGGACUACGACGCCAACCUACAGGAUACUUCGGACUGGCUGGAGGUGCACAAGGAUGGGUACUACAUCGAGACGCCAGCCAUCGGGCUGGGCAGCCCAACGCUGGGCCAGACGAUGUGGUCCUCGUUCCCGACGAAUCUGGAUUUCGGCUUCGGGCAGGCUUCGCUGGUCAUGCCGGUGGACGACUUCGCUGAAAGGCUGGCUUCAGGGUUGAUGCUCGUCACGGCGAGGCCUGGAGGCGACGGCUCAUGGAUCGUCAGCGCAGAGAUAUGGAGGUGCCUCGCAGAAGCGCUCGAGGCCGACCAGCAACACAUUUUCAAGCCUCUCACGGCGGAGUAUCUCGGUUUCAGUAAUUCUACUUCCAAAAAGAUCCAGAUAUCUCGCCUGUGAUCGACUCCGUGGAUUGUCCACUCCCGGUCCACCUGCUACAAGUUGUUGCGCCUGCAUCCACAUUCUACAUGCGUCCAUGUUGUUGUGCUCGUGCCGUUGCUCCUGUGUUUGUUGACUUUCAUUGUUAUUUUUGUCAAAAAAAUAUUUUAUUCUACCAUGAAUAAAUAAACAAAGCACGU